rnacentral:rRNA from 1 species
UGGUAGUCCACGCCGUAAACGAUGCUAACUCGUUUUUUGGGCUUUCGGGUUCAAGAGACUAAGCGAAAAGUGAUAAGUUUAGCCACCUGGGGAGUACGAACCGCAAGUUUGAAACUCAAAAGGAAUUGACGGGGGCCCGCACAAGCGGUGGAUUAUGUGGUUUAAUUCGAUGAUACGCGAGGAACCUUACCAAAGACUUAAAUGGGAAUUGAUCGGUUUAGAAAUAGGCCUUCCUUCGGGCAAUUUUCAAGGUGCUGCAUGGUUGUCGUCAGCUCGUGCCGUGAGGUGUUAGGUUAAGUCCUGCAACGAGCGCAACCCCUGUCACUAGUUGCCAUCAUUAAGUUGGGGACUCUAGUGAGACUGCCUACGCAAGUAGAGAGGAAGGUGGGGAUGACGUCAAAUCAUCACGGCCCUUACGUCUUGGGCCACACACGUAAUACAAUGGCCGGUACAGAGGGCAGCUACACAGCGAUGUGAUGCAAAUCUCGAAAGCCGGUCUCAGUUCGGAUUGGAGUCUGCAACUCGACUCUAUGAAGCUGGAAUCGCUAAGUAAUCGCGCAUAAGGCCAUGGCGCGGUGAAUACGUUCCCGGGCCUUGCCCUUAAAGGGGCGUCAAGCCAUGGAAGUCUGGGGUAUCCCUGAAGUCCGGUG